GCCAGCGUGGUGUAGUGGUUUGAGUGUUGGACUAUGACUCUAGCGACUAGGGUUCGAAUCCCACUUGUCC